CCCACUUUAGGGUUAGGGCUAGGGCUCGAAAAAACAAUUUAUUUAUGCUGUAGGGUUUGAAUUUCUACUUACCUCGUGUGUAGGACAGGGGCUCGAAUGCUUGAAACGUCUGCACAUCUUUUAUUUGCAGACGAAAUCGUUAUUAAGGCAGGCAGGAAUGUCGAUCCGGUGUUACAUCAUUAGUAAAUCUUCAGGUCGGUUCUGAAGAUGAUCAGAUGAAGAAAAAAAUAACUGCAACAAAAUGAGAUCUAAUGAUCACUGUUAUUUAAGUCUCUGAUGAUCUCUUCAUCUUUUUGGGGGAAAGUGAUGAAUGCAAUUUGGUCCGUGUUUAUGACUCACUCUGAUCUCAAAUAAUUGCACUUUAUUUGUGAUUCCCAACGAUUAGCAUUCAUAAUUUGUUUUGCAAAGCUCGAGGAUUGUUUGCCCUAGGGCAAUAUACGCUAUGCUGAGAUCUACUCUUUAAUGAUGAAAGAUCAAUAAACUGAGAGCUAUUUUUGUUAGGGUUAUGUGUAGUUAAUUUUCUUCGCAGUUAUAGAGUUUGUAUGUUAAUAUAAUUUUUAUCGCCUUUGUUAGGUUUUCUUUGGAGUUUUCUAUUUAUGUGAAACCUGUUUAAAGUCCUGUUAGGGUUUUUGUCCUGUUUUCAACUGGUAGGUAUUCCGUUCUUUAUUUUGUGAUAAGGGUAUCUGUUUAUGGUUUCUAAUUAGGGUCUCUGCUUUUUUUGUUAUAGUUCUACAUUGAUAUCUGUUUUUGGUGGCUUAGUUUGAUAUCUGUGUUGAUUUUGCACACCGAGAGUGUUUUGUUGGGGUUUUUCAUCUAUUGCUGGUGUAGUUCUAUAUGGGUUUAUUUGCUACUAGUGCUAAAUUAACUGGUGUUCUGCAAUGAGGAAUGUUAUAAAAUUUCACAUGUUAGACUACUGAGAUGGAUACCAUCGAUGAGUUAGCAACUUUAUUCUGAGCAGAACAUGACAUAUAAAAGCUCAUUUGUAAACUAUUUUUACUUCGUUAUUAAUUUCCUUUUUGCUAAUUGUUAUUGCUUUCAUAAAAGCUUCA